rnacentral:sRNA from 1 species
GAGGUUGCCUGAAGUCCCGCACUCCUUAAAUUGCUCCUUAAAUUGUGUGGGGUCAGACCUGUGUCCGCCCUGCUGUGGGCCUCCCUGCUGUGGGUUGGAGGGUGGCCGAUUCCUGAGCUGUGUUUGAGGAGAGGGCGGAGUGCCAUCUGGGUAGCCGUCCUUCAGCGUUCUGCAGGAAGGCAGGAACCCAGCUGUCAGAGGCUUCCGGGGAGGGGGUGUGGCAUGGCAGCCUAGAGGCGUGUGUGUGUGUGUGUGUGUGUGUGUGUGUGUGUACAGAUGCCCAGGUUCGGGAUUGGCGUUAGACUUUGAGCCUGGCCAGAAGAGGGGCAGCGGCUGCCGCAUCAGAGCCGCGCCCGCCCCCAGCCCCCUGCCCUGUCUUCCAGUCCUGAUUUCCUGGGCGCCCCGGGGCUGGCGCUGCCCGCCGAGCCGCUGCCUCCGCUCCUGGCGCCGGACGUGUGGGCCCGACUGGAGAGCGACUACACCAGCUUCCUGGAGGCCAAGAUCGCAAGCUGCUUCGACAGCAUCUUGCAGCUGGAGCAGAGUCACUGGGCGGCCGC